rnacentral:rRNA from 1 species
CCGAACCGACUAAUGUUGAAAAAUUAGCGGAUGACCUGUGGCUGGGGGUGAAAGGCCAAUCAAACCGGGAGAUAGCUGGUUCUCCCCGAAAGCUAUUUAGGUAGCGCCUCGUGAAUUCAUCUCCGGGGGUAGAGCACUGUUUCGGCUAGGGGGCCAUCCCGGCUUACCAACCCGAUGCAAACUGCGAAUACCGGAGAAUGUUAUCACGGGAGACACACGGCGGGUGCUAACGUCCGUCGUGAAGAGGGAAACAACCCAGACCGCCAGCUAAGGUCCCAAAGUCAUGGUUAAGUGGGAAACGAUGUGGGAAGGCCCAGACAGCCAGGAUGUUGGCUUAGAAGCAGCCAUCAUUUAAAGAAAGCGUAAUAGCUCACUGGUCGAGUCGGCCUGCGCGGAAGAUGUAACGGGGCUAAACCAUGCACCGAAGCUGCGGCAGCGACACUGUGUGUUGUUGGGUAGGGGAGCGUUCUGUAAGCCUGUGAAGGUGUGUCGUGAGGCAUGCUGGAGGUAUCAGAAGUGCGAAUGCUGACAUAAGUAACGAUAAAGCGGGUGAAAAGCCCGCUCGCCGGAAGACCAAGGGUUCCUG